rnacentral:tRNA from 3 species
GGGCCGCUAGCUCAAUGGUAGAGCAGUUGACUCUUAAUCAAUUGGUUCGAGGUUCGAGUCCUCGGCGGCCCACCA